UCUCCUUCAGCCAGAGUACGCUUCCCUGAUCUGAAAACGUAUUCCGUGUCUGUGUCAGCAAGGUAUGCAUUUUCCCUGAAGCGAAGGCGUAUUCUUUAAAGUACGCUUUCUGUUUUUCUGUCCAGGCCCAAUUUGUUAAGAUUUUUCUUACAAAUAGGUCCCUGGCAGAAAAACAAGUGUAUCUUUUCAACCGUAGCUCCAAAUCAGGUGAUUCCAAAGCCCACAUAUUCGUUUCAUCGAGCCCGUUCUGAUGGAACCAUUUUCACCAUGUGUUUGACAUUCUGAAAACGACCAUUUUGCCCCUGCCCUUAUUCAUCCCCCUCCGAGAGAGUACGUUUUCCGGCGAUCCUUUCCGCGAGUUUCUCGCAGUUUCUGCCGGUGAUUUCUUCCACCCCAGGCAAGCCACACCCUCCAUUUGCAUUACUAUAAUGCAGUGACAUGGUUUAAUCUAUUUGAACUUGUUUAAAAUAUUGCUUUAGCUACAUGACUUUGUGCAUGGCAUUUUCUCGGAGUAUUAUUUUGAUCUUGUUGUUGCCAUGCUAUUGUUUGGAUUACUAGGAGUUAUGUUUGUAGUUGAUGAGUAUCAUGUUGCCAUUGGAGUAUUAGUGGUUGAUAUUAUGAUUGUUUUCAUGAUGAUAUCUGUUAUUAUAUUUUUGGAGUAUUACUUUGGAUGUCAUGCUGCCUUUGGAUUAUUAGUGGUUAGUAUGAUUAUUUUCAUGAUGCUAGUCGAUGUUAUGUUACUGUUGCUUGGAGUAUUAAUUUCGGAGAUGAUGUUUACGUGUGGAUCUUAGCUGGAUAGCUUUGUUCUUGUUAUUGGAGUAGUAGACUUAUUGUUUUCAGAUUCAUCACGAUAGAAAUGUUAUGCUAUCCUUGGAGUUUUUGAUAUGAUGAUAUUAUGCUCAGAUUAUUUGUUGGAUAUUGCUAUGACUUGGAUUAUAGUGUGAUAGUUGAUAUCGGAGUAUCAGUUAUCACAGUUAUAUUUUUGGGGAUAAAUUCCAUCAUUAAGUUGGUCAGGUGCCACCGAACCGGGCUUUCUCAAGUGCAACCACAUUUGCCUUUAUGGGAAGGCCCUAAUGUGAUAAUAUUGACGUGUCUCUCGCCAUUGCCUCCAACGAGGGAAGGUUAUGGGCACGCGCUACCCUGAUCAAGUAGGCGGACAUAAGCCUUGUGUGCACGUAGUUGGAUUUUGCGCGCUUUCGUCCCCGUUUGGGACCAUUUUAGUUUGCCACGACGGUGGCCGUUUUGCCAUGACUGUGGCCGUUGGUGCCUUUGGUAGGCACGGGGCCACCCAGUACUGAACCCAAAGGGGGUGUUGGUCGGAGUGGCCGGGAGAGUGGCAUGGCAGUAGAUCGGUUUUGUCGGAACGCCGUUGGUCCACCCGAAUGGGAGUUUGAGGCCAUGGGUUCCGUGGUGUGGGUACAGUGUGCUACCUCUGCAGAGUGUGUGUUUAAGCUAUCGAUAGCCGUGUCCGUACUAGGUCACACCGUUCGAUCAACACUCAUGUGACGGAAUGACUUAUAGCUGAUUUAUAUGAUGUAUGUGAGUAGUAACAGUUUGGCAGGAUGUUGAUGAUGAUGUUGAGAUGAUCUUGAGGAUGAUCAUUCAGUUUGUGAUGUGGUCACGAGGUGACCGUGUGGAUAUCUUGAUCACGAAGUGAUCAUAUGGACCACGAGGUGGUUGAGAUGGUAUAUUGCUUGGCCGGUUAGCCAAGAAUGAGAUUGUUGUUGGGAAUGAGAUGUUGGUUUAUCAGUAUUGUAGUAGUUUCAUAUCGUGCUUAGUAGUUGCUGUCGUAUCAUGGUAGAUGUUAAUUUAAUUAACCUGCUUAAUGCUAUGUUGUUGUCUUGCCUUGAUGCUUUUGGUUGUUGUGAGCUUGCAAGUACAUUCAAUGUACUGAUCUGGCGUGUCAUGCCAGAUUGCAGGUGAUGUCGUGAUUGCUUU
rnacentral:lncRNA from 1 species